AUUGACAAUCUGGGGCCAGCCAUGAUGCUCAGUGACCGACUGACAUUUCUGGGUGAGUCUCUGUAUUCUUUCCCCUAGGUACACCAGAGCAGGUGCUUGGGGACAUGGAAGACAGCCAGCCUCUGCAUGUGUUAGCUUUUGCAGAAUUUGAUAACAUUUUAUUUUCCAGUAAUUCCAAAGUUAGGGAAAUGAAGAUGUAGCAUGAUAAAAUGAUACAUUUUAUAUACACUUUUCAUACUUAUUUUUGUUUUAAAGUUAGGGUCACACUGUGUACAUCUGGCUGCCCUGGAAAUCCUAUGUGGACCGACCAGCCUAGCCUUUAACACAGAGAAGUCUGUGUGCCUUUCUCCCCAAGGCUGGGACUAUGGGCCUGGGAGUUUGGCAUGGUGUCCAUGUCCUGUGUCCCACCACACUCCCACCAGAGUUUCUCACUGCUUGUGUGAGCUGGAAGUGAGCUGCAGGAAGAGGUUAAUGUCUCCCUCAAUCUCCUAUACUUCACUAGGAUUCACGGAGUAUUUUAAUCUUUUAUUUAUUUAUUUAUUUAUUUAUUUAUUUAUUUAUUUAUUUUUGGAGCUGAGGACCGAACCCAGGGCCUUGUGCUUGCUAGGCAAGCACUCUACCACUGAGCUAAAUCCCCAACCCCUAAUCUUUUUAAAUUUGUUUUGUGUAUGUGUGUUCACCAUAUAUAGGCCUGGUGUUUGCAGAAGCCAGAAGAGGGUCCCAUGGGACUGGAGUUAGUUGUGAGCUGGCAUGUGGGUGUCGGGCAUUGA
rnacentral:lncRNA from 1 species